rnacentral:lncRNA from 1 species
GGGAAAUCAGCCGGGCGUCUUCCGCAUCCACCUAUGGCAUCGUCUUCAUUCUCGGAUGCUCCGCCGGCGACCACUCCUCCGCUGCAAUCAACGAGCCGGUCCAACCGUCGAGAAUCAAUUCCUCCAAAUCAGCCCGUUCCGGCCACGAGUCCCACGCGGUGCAGCCAGCGACCGGAUCCCCCGCCUCUUCUUCCGAUCGUAACGCCUCCGAUCCAGCAAUCGCCCAGCACCCGAACACCUGCAACGUCUUUCCGUCCGGAUUCAUCCCUAGCACCAAGCCGUGAUCGGCUCCCAACAGCCGGAAACCCAG